rnacentral:tRNA from 5 species
GCGGGGGUCGCAUAGCCAGGCCAAUUGCGCUGGGUUUAGGUCCCAGUCCUUAGUGGUACGUGGGUUCAAAUCCCUCCCCCCGCACCA